GUGUGAACUGCUUCUCACAAAGUUGGCAUGGAAAUGGCUUGACUUCAUCAUGCUUCAAACGAUGACGUCGCAAGUCAGUUCCUGUCACGAGCUGUUGUGAGAGGCCGGCAAGGCAGGCCGCGUCACUUAGCCGGGUCCUGCCUCACCGCUGAAACUCGUCCACUCUGUGAGUAUGAUUAAUAAUUAAUAUAUAUGUAAAUAGUGUGUUUAGCAAAGAAGUGGCAUACUUAACUGGUGUUACAAGUAAAUAGUUUAGUUAGUAUAAAACUAAGGACGUGCUCAAUCCUUCAGCUUUUUAUAUAUAGAGUGGCGAAGCUGCUGCAGUAUGGUGGUGUGGCCUGCCCUAGCUAGCUGGUACAGUGUGUUACCUCGCUAGGAUUUGUGUGUGCCACCAGCCCACUAAAGCUACUUUUCAACAUAGUGCUCACACCCUCGAUGAUGGAUGCUGCCUCCAGUGCAACCCUGUGUACAUUAAGUCCAGUUGGCCCGAGUCGCCAAGUGACACCAGUACCCACCUCUGCCAGCCAUGAUUUAUAUUUUGUAUGGUCUCCUUUAUAUGCUGCCACUAUUCUUAAUUUAUUAUUGUUAAUACAUUUUUUUUGCACUUA